GACGAACGCUGGCGGCGUGCUUAACACAUGCAAGUCGAACGGAAAGGCCCUGCUUUUGUGGGGUGCUCGAGUGGCGAACGGGUGAGUAACACGUGAGUAACCUGCCCUUGACUUUGGGAUAACUUCAGGAAACUGGGGCUAAUACCGGAUAGGAGCUCCUGCUGCAUGGUGGGGGUUGGAAAGUUUCGGCGGGUGGGGAUGGACUCGCGGCUUAUCAGCUUGUUGGUGGGGUAGUGGCUUACCAAGGCUUUGACGGGUAGCCGGCCUGAGAGGGUGACCGGCCACAUUGGGACUGAGAUACGGCCCAGACUCCUACGGGAGGCAGCAGUGGGGAAUAUUGCACAAUGGGCGGAAGCCUGAUGCAGCAACGCCGCGUGCGGGAUGACGGCCUUCGGGUUGUAAACCGCUUUCGCCUGUGACGAAGCGUGAGUGACGGUAAUGGGUAAAGAGGCACCGGCUAACUACGUG
rnacentral:rRNA from 1 species